rnacentral:rRNA from 1 species
UAUCCGGAUCACUGGGUUUAAAGGGUGCGUAGGCGGUAGGUAAGUCAGUGGUGAAAUCCUGGAGCUCAACUCCAGAACUGCCAUUGAUACUAUCUAUCUUGAAUAUUGUGGAGGUAAGCGGAAUAUGUCAUGUAGCGGUGAAAUGCUUAGAUAUGACAUAGAACACCCAUUGCGAAGGCAGCUUACUACGCAUAUAUUGACGCUGAGGCACGAAAAGCGUGGGGAUCAAAACAGGAUUAGAUACCCUGGUAGUCCACGCCCUAAACUAUGGAUACUCGACAUAUGCGAUACACUGUAUGUGUCUGAGCGAAAGCAUUAAGUAUCCCACCUGGGAAGUACGUUCGCAAGAAUGAAACUCAAAGGAAUUGGCGGGGGUCCGCACAAGCGGUGGAGUAUGUGGUUUAAUUCGAUGAUACGCGAGGAACCUUACCUGGGCUAGAAUGCUGGGAGACCGCUAGUGAAAGCUAGUUUUGUAGCAAUACACUGCCAGUAAGGUGCUGCAUGGCCGUCGUCAGCUCGUGCCGUGAGGUGUUGGGUUAAGUCCCGCAACGAGCGCAACCCCUAUCUUUAGUUGCCAACAGGUAAUGCUGGGAACUCUAAAGAAACUGCCGCCGUAAGGUGUGAGGAAGGAGGGGAUGAUGUCAGGUCAUCAUGGCCUUUAUGCCCAGGGCUACACACGUACUACAAUGGGGAAGACAAAGGGCUGCAACAUAGCGAUAUGAAGCCAAUCCCAAAAACUUCCUCUCAGUUCAGAUUGCAGGCUGCAACUCGCCUGCAUGAAGCUGGAAUCGCUAGUAAUCGUAUAUCAGCAAUGAUACGGUGAAUACGUUCCCGGACCUUGCACACACCGCCCGUCAAGCCAUGGGAGUCGGGUGUACCUAAAGUCGGUAACCGUAAGGAGCUGCCUAGGGUAA